rnacentral:rRNA from 1 species
GUUUGAUCCUGGCUCAGGAUGAACGCCGGCGGUGUGCCUAAUACAUGCAAGUCGUACGCACUGGCCCAACUGAUUGAUGGUGCUUGCACCUGAUUGACGUUGGAUCACCAGUGAGUGGCGGACGGGUGAGUAACACGUAGGUAACCUGCCCCGGAGCGGGGGAUAACAUUUGGAAACAGAUGCUAAUACCGCAUAACAACAAAAGCCACAUGGCUUUUGUUUGAAAGAUGGCUUUGGCUAUCACCCUGGGAUGGACCUGCGGUGCAUUAGCUAGUUGGUAAGGUAACGGCUUACCAAGGCGAUGAUGCAUAGCCGAGUUGAGAGACUGAUCGGCCACAAUGGAACUGAGACACGGUCCAUACUCCUACGGGAGGCAGCAGUAGGGAAUCUUCCACAAUGGGCGCAAGCCUGAUGGAGCAACACCGCGUGAGUGAAGAAGGGUUUCGGCUCGUAAAGCUCUGUUGUUGGAGAAGAACGUGCGUGAGAGUAACUGUUCACGCAGUGACGGUAUCCAACCAGAAAGUCACGGCUAACUACGUGCCAGCAGCCGCGGUAAUACGUAGGUGGCAAGCGUUAUCCGGAUUUAUUGGGCGUAAAGCGAGCGCAGGCGGUUGCUUAGGUCUGAUGUGAAAGCCUUCGGCUUAACCGAAGAAGUGCAUCGGAAACCGGGCGACUUGAGUGCAGAAGAGGACAGUGGAACUCCAUGUGUAGCGGUGGAAUGCGUAGAUAUAUGGAAGAACACCAGUGGCGAAGGCGGCUGUCUGGUCUGCAACUGACGCUGAGGCUCGAAAGCAUGGGUAGCGAACAGGAUUAGAUACCCUGGUAGUCCAUGCCGUAAACGAUGAGUGCUAGGUGUUGGAGGGUUUCCGCCCUUCAGUGCCGGAGCUAACGCAUUAAGCACUCCGCCUGGGGAGUACGACCGCAAGGUUGAAACUCAAAGGAAUUGACGGGGGCCCGCACAAGCGGUGGAGCAUGUGGUUUAAUUCGAAGCUACGCGAAGAACCUUACCAGGUCUUGACAUCUUGCGCUAACCUUAGAGAUAAGGCGUUCCCUUCGGGGACGCAAUGACAGGUGGUGCAUGGUCGUCGUCAGCUCGUGUCGUGAGAUGUUGGGUUAAGUCCCGCAACGAGCGCAACCCUUGUUACUAGUUGCCAGCAUUAAGUUGGGCACUCUAGUGAGACUGCCGGUGACAAACCGGAGGAAGGUGGGGACGACGUCAGAUCAUCAUGCCCCUUAUGACCUGGGCUACAUACGUGCUACAAUGGACGGUACAACGAGUCGCAAGCUCGCGAGAGUAAGCUAAUCUCUUAAAGCCGUUCUCAGUUCGGACUGUAGGCUGCAACUCGCCUACACGAAGUCGGAAUCGCUAGUAAUCGCGGAUCAGCAUGCCGCGGUGAAUACGUUCCCGGGCCUUGUACACACCGCCCGUCA